UACGUAGGUGGCAAGCGUUGUCCGGAAUUAUUGGGCGUAAAGCGCGCGCAGGCGGUCUCUUAAGUCUGAUGUGAAAGCCCACGGCUUAACCGUGGAGGGUCAUUGGAAACUGGGGGACUUGAGUGCAGAAGAGGAGAGUGGAAUUCCACGUGUAGCGGUGAAAUGCGUAGAGAUGUGGAGGAACACCAGUGGCGAAGGCGACUCUCUGGUCUGUAACUGACGCUGAGGCGCGAAAGCGUGGGUAGCGAACAGG
rnacentral:rRNA from 1 species